rnacentral:lncRNA from 1 species
CUAUCUGUGUCGGGGCUAGGGGGCGGACGACCCCUAAUUCGGGUUGGGAUUGGGAGGGGGAACACACCAGUGGGGGGGGGUCACGGAGGGUACCUCAGACCGGGAGGGGCGGUACAGGGGGAUGCACACACACAGGUGUGAGGGGGUCACGGGGGGAUGCACACACAGGUGUGGGGGUCACAGGGGGAUGCACACAGGUGUGAGGGGGUCAUGGGGGAUGCACACACACAGGUGUGGGGUCACGGGGGGAUGCACACACGCAGGUGUGGGGGUUCCUGGGGGGAUGCACACACAGGUGUGGACAGGUGUGUGAGGGUUCCAGGGGUGCACACACACAUGCACUUUGCACAGGCGUGCUGUCUGCCCACACUGACACGCGUUCCUCCCUGUGGUGGCAGGGACCAUGACCAUGCUGGGAUAGCCUGGGGCAGGGGCUGGCUCGGUCCUGUGCUCCGUGGGGGUGGCCAGGGUCACGUGGCCCGUGGUGCAGCUGUAGGCACCGUGUGCUCGUGCAGAUGAGGAAAGGUGAGGGCAGCUUGCUAGGUCACGGAAUGGAGUCAGGUUUAUUCUUUCGUUCUGGGGUUGUCCUUCCUGAUCUCGAAGCUGAGGAGUUGUGCACUGAAGGUGGCAGGCACGGCUCUUUGUUGUGUAACAAGAUGUUGACUGCCCCUUGUCAGGCCCUAGAAUUUCUUUUUAAGUUUGUCUGUCUCUGAGAUCCCAAAGUCACGGGGCAAGAGUGGCAGGGACACGCGGGCGUCACAGAGCUGAGCCAGUCCUGAGCUGCACGGGUCAGGCUUUGAUGCCAGCCAGGGCCGCGCUCCUGGUCGCGCCUCUGGGGCCCGGUGACGUCCUUUCUGUCCCUCAUUCACCCUCACCUCUGCCUCUCUCCAGACCUGCUCCUGCAGUGUGCCACAGACAUCACAGACACGCACUCACGUGUCCCUUCCGGGGUCCCACGGGGGAGCCCGCCGCGUGUGGAGGGCACGUACGGUGCGGCACGUGUGCCCCGGAUUCCGCGCACAGGAGGAGUGAGCGGGGCGGGGCAGCGACUGCUGCCGUGACGCGUGAGUCCACGCCUCCUGUCAGCUGCUCGGGUUUCAGGACCUCAGACGUGCGGACGCGGUUCCUGUGGACAGAGCAGCCGUGCACUGCUCUGCCCGCACCAACGCCUCCCUGGGGUGGGCGCCCGCCUGGGACGUGCGCCGGGGCCUGUGUGCCUGGAGCCGUGCUAAGGGAACAGCCACCGCACCCCCGCGCCUUCUCUGCUCCGGUAGUGAACGCCUGUCUCUGCUCCGGUAGUGAACGCCUGUGCCUGCAGUGCUGGGACCGUGACCGCGUUUCGCCCUUGUGCCUGGCUAAGAGCUUUCGGAAGUGUGGUGGACAUUUUUGAUGAUGUUGUAACCUGAAUAAACGCUUCAUGCCCCAAAACUGCCCUGAUUUU